UACAGAGGGUGCGAGCGUUAAUCGGAGUUACUGGGCGUAAAGGGCGCGUAGGCGGUUAUAUAAGUGAGAUGUGAAAUCCCUGGGCUUAACCUAGGAACUGCAUCUCAUACUGUAUGACUGGAGUAUUGUAGAGGGUAGUGGAAUUUCCGGUGUAGCGGUGAAAUGCGUAGAGAUCGGAAGGAACACCAGUGGCGAAGGCGGACUACCUGGACAA
rnacentral:rRNA from 1 species